GUGAAGGCCUUCCUCCUCAGGCGUCCAUGGAUAAUGAGUGAUGGACGAGAAGUGUGGUCUGCAGUACUGCCCCCAUUGAGCUACGUUUCGGAGGUGAAGACGAGGAAAGCUUGGAUUCUCAAAACAUUCCGGAAGAGAUCAAACAUUCAACUCAUGGUAGACUUGUCGUGUGACCAACCCAAAUGGAGAAGGCUCAUUAAUGAGAGUCCCAAGCACAUUGAGAGGUUUUCGGAAGCUGCAGACGUGAGGUCAGGCAUCAGAGGCUGUAUGCAAAACUCCAAACCUUCAAGAAUUACCUGGCCUGUGUGGGGCAGAGGCUGCUGAUCGCAAAUUAGACUAAAUAGCCAUGUCAGAGGCCUUCAAAGCAGAAUGGACUUGUUACCUCCAACAGCAGGAAAACAAUCGCAGUUCAGAAGCUGACAGCACACUUAAUUUGAAAGUGAGAU